GAUUUGUUGAUGGUGGAGGAGUUACAGCAACUAUAGUAGACAGCAAUAUUAGAACUACCAACGGAAUCAUCCAUCAAGUAGAUAAGGUGCUCGGUGUCCCGCUUACCACUGUUCUUCACAAAAU